UACGGGGGGAGCAAGCGUUGUUCGGAUUUACUGGGCGUAAAGGGCGCGUAGGCGGUCGUGACAAGUCACUUGUGAAAUCUCCGGGCUUAACUCGGAACGGUCAAGUGAUACUGUCGGACUAGAGUACAGAAGGGGCAACUGGAAUUCUCGGUGUAGCGGUGAAAUGCGUAGAUAUCGAGAGGAACACCUGCGGCGAAGGUGGGUUGCUGGGCUGAUACUGACGCUGAGGCGCGAAAGCCAGGGGAGCGAACGGG
rnacentral:rRNA from 1 species